rnacentral:rRNA from 1 species
CUACGGAGGGUGCGAGCGUUGAUCGGAAUUACUGGGCGUAAAGCGUGCGUAGGCGGUUUGCUAAGUCAGAUGUGAAAGCCCCGGGCUUAACCUGGGAACUGCAUUUGAUACUGGCAGACUAGAGUAUGAUAGAGGGGGGUAGAAUUCCUGGUGUAGCGGUGAAAUGCGUAGAUAUCAGGAGGAAUACCAGUGGCGAAGGCGGCCCCCUGGAUCAAUACUGACGCUGAGGUACGAAAGCGUGGGGAGCGAACAGGAUUAGAUACCCCUGUAGUCC